UACAGAGGUCUCAAGCGUUGUUCGGAUUCAUUGGGCGUAAAGGGCGCGUAGGCGGCGGGGUAAGUCGGGUGUGAAAUCUCAGAGCUCAACUCUGAAAUGGCACUUGAUACUGCUCUGCUAGAGGACUGGAGAGGAGAUUGGAAUUCACGGUGUAGCAGUGAAAUGCGUAGAUAUCGUGAGGAAGACCGGUGGCGAAGGCGGAUCUCUGGACA
rnacentral:rRNA from 1 species